UUGGAGGGCAAGUCUGGUGCCAGCAGCCGCGGUAAUUCCAGCUCCAAUAGCGUAUAUUAAAGUUGUUGCAGUUAAAAAGCUCGUAGUUGAAUUUCGGGGUCAGUAGGUUGGUCAUGCCACUGGUAUGUACUGGUCUCACUGAUUCCUCCUUCCUGAUGAACUGUAAUGCCAUUAAUUUGGUGUUGCAGGGAAUCUGGACUGUUACUUUGAAAAAAUUAGAGUGUUUAAAGCAGGCUAACGCCUGAAUACAUUAGCAUGGAAUAAUGAAAUAGGACGUUCGAUCCUAUUUUGUUGGUUUCUAGGAUUGACGUAAUGAUUAAUAGGGAUAGUUGGGGGCAUUAGUAUUCAAUUGUCAGAGGUGAAUUUCUUGGAUUUAUUGAGGACUAACUACUGCGAAAGCAUUUGCCAAGGAUGUUUUCAUUAAUCAAGAACGAAAGUUAGGGGAUCGAAGACGAUCAGAUACCGUAGUAGUCUUAACCAUAAACUAUGCCGACUAGGGAUCGGAUGAUGUUAAUUUUUUAAUGACUCAUUCGGCGCCUUACGGGA
rnacentral:rRNA from 1 species